rnacentral:pre_miRNA from 1 species
AGACGCAGCCCUGGGGACAGUGGAAAGCUGGUGGGCCGCGGAACAUGUGCUGACCUCGGGCCGCAUGUCUGCUGACCAUCACCUUUGGGACCGCCCCCUGCCCUCG